rnacentral:ncRNA from 1 species
UGUUCUUUACGGGGGUGGUUAAGUAAACAAGCGUUGUUCUGUUUUCGGAACAAUGGCAUGUAAACUAAACCUGAGAUCAUACUCCUACAACCUGAUCUGGAUAAUGCCAGCGAAGGGAACGAAGAACAAAUGAGG